rnacentral:pre_miRNA from 1 species
AGCUUUCUGAAUUCAUGCAAAAAUUUCGUCAGACACAAACCCGUUAGGGUUGAUCAGACUUCCAAGAUAAGUGAAGUU